GUCAGGAUGGCCGUGCGGUCUAAGACGCUGCGUUCAGGUCGCAGUCCGGUCUUCCGGGCGUGGGUUCGAAUCCCACUUCUGACA
rfam:Ixodes scapularis strain Wikel colony gcontig_1108379667196, whole genome shotgun sequence.